rnacentral:rRNA from 1 species
UACGUAGGUGACAAGCGUUGUCCGGAUUUACUGGGCGUAAAGAGCGCGCAGGCGGUCGUUCAAGUCGAGUGUGAAAGCCCCCGGCUCAACUGGGGAGGGUCACUCGAUACUGAUCGACUCGAAGGCAGGAGAGGGAAGUGGAAUUCCCGGUGUAGUGGUGAAAUGCGUAGAUAUCGGGAGGAACACCGGUGGCGAAGGCGGUUCUCUGGGCCUGUACUGACGCUGAGGAACGAAAGCGUGGGGAGCGAACAGG